CCUGGUGGAAAUCUCUGCUUACCAGAGGCUUUCAAAAGAUACAAGCCAGCUUCACCUUCAGAGAGACAAUGGACACUACCCACAAAGUUGUCAUGAUGUUACUGAACAUCACAGACAAAAGGAAGACAUAGAGCCAGCAGUGACUCCUAUAGGAAGAGCUUAAAAAACAAAACAAAAAAAACAGCAUUCCAACACAAGGUUUAUAAGAAGCAUCCAUCUAUUUAACAAAGAAAACACGUUGUGGAUUUUUAUUUUAUUUAAAUACAAAGUAGUUUAUCAUCUCCUGAGAAGUACUAGGAUUAUAUUCAGUUUUGCUUCUCUUGCAUAAAAUUGUCCAGAAGCAGUUUGAGCAUUCACUGGAGAAGUUCUACCCACCAUGCCAAUGUCCUUGGCUCUCUCUCUGGAUACACCAGAGCAUUGCUCAAGUCAUGCUGACCUUUGCAGCAGGAUAAACAUAUGUACCUUGAUUUCAGCAAGGCGUUUGACAGUGUCUCCCACAACAUCUUUGUUAUGAAACUUAAAAAGUGCAGGAUAGAUGAAUGGAUGGUGAGCUGGAUUAACAACUAACUGACUGGAAGAGCUCAGAGUGUGGUCAGCAGUGGUGCAGUCUGGUUGGAGGCCUGUAACCAGCAGUGUUGCCCAGGGUUUGGUUCUGGGCCUGGUCUCAUUCAACAUCAUCAUCAACAACCUGGAUGAAGGGAUAGAGUCCACCCUCAGCAUGUUUGCUGAUGACAGAAAGCUGGGAGGAUUGGCUGACACACCUGAAGGCUGUUCUACCAUUCAGCAAGACCUGGACAGACUGGAGAGUUGGACAAAGAGGAGCCUGAUUAGGUUUAAUAAGAGCAAGUGUAGAGUCUUGCACCUGGGGAGGAAUAACCACAUGCAUCAGUACAGGUUAGGUACCUGCUGAGGAGGAGCUCUGCAGAGAAGAACCUGGGAUUUGUGGUGGACAACAGGAUGGCCAUGAGCCAGCAGCGUACCCUUGUAGCCAAGAAGGCCACUGAUAUCCUGGAAUGGAUUAAAAAGAUCCUGGCCAGCAAGUCAAGGGAG
ensembl:lncRNA